UGAGAGCUCUCUCUCACCCAAUGUCAAUAUGUCAUUCCCUCCUGACCCCGAGGGUGGAGUAAAGCCUCGUCCUCACCCAGGAGAGGUCUGGUCCUUGCCCUCGGCUCCUGGGAAAUAACCUAAAUUCUUGGCACUUCCCAAGGGAUAGGAGCAUCUUUGUUAUUCGUGGGGUGAGACGCUGCUCCCUGCCGGGAAGGACGCCCCUGACAAGCAGUGACUUUCUGCAAAAUAAUUUUUGGCCUUUGUCUCCCAAACCUAGAGCCUAGGAGGGAGAGAGCAUUAUGGAUACAGAAAACAGCAGGAUGUUCACAGCCACUCUGCUGACCUGUGACCUAGAAGAGCCUAUUUUCUUAGCUUGAAGUGUCACAGAAGAGAGAGCACAAGAGAACAUGGAUUUCCAAGCUGGUAUGGACAAUAACCCAAGGUCACGUGUCUCUCUAGACUGUACUGCCUCAU